rnacentral:rRNA from 1 species
GAUGAACGCUGGCGGCGUGCCUAAUACAUGCAAGUCGAGCGAACAGACGAGGAGCUUGCUCCUCUGACGUUAGCGGCGGACGGGUGAGUAACACGUGGAUAACCUACCUAUAAGACUGGGAUAACUUCGGGAAACCGGAGCUAAUACCGGAUAAUAUAUUGAACCGCAUGGUUCAAUAGUGAAAGACGGUUUUGCUGUCACUUAUAGAUGGAUCCGCGCCGCAUUAGCUAGUCGGUAAGGUAACGGCUUACCAAGGCGACGAUGCGUAGCCGACCUGAGAGGGUGAUCGGCCACACUGGAACUGAGACACGGUCCAGACUCCUACGGGAGGCAGCAGUAGGGAAUCUUCCGCAAUGGGCGAAAGCCUGACGGAGCAACGCCGCGUGAGUGAUGAAGGUCUUCGGAUCGUAAAACUCUGUUAUUAGGGAAGAACAAAUGUGUAAGUAACUAUGCACGUCUUGACGGUACCUAAUCAGAAAGCCACGGCUAACUACGUG